CAAUAGCGUAUAUUAAAGUUGUUGCAGUUAAAAAGCUCGUAGUUGGAUUUGUGGCGUACGGUGUGUUCCGGGCACUUGUUGUCUGAGUAACCUGCUGUUGCCAUCCUUGGGUGGAACCUGGGUGGCAUUAGGUUGUCGUGCAGGGGAUGCCCAUCAUUUACUGUGAAAAAAUUAGAGUGUUCAAAGCAGGCUUAUGCCGUUGAAUAUAUUAGCAUGGAAUAAUGAGAUAGGACUUUUUUGCUAUUUUGUUGGUUUGCGCAAAGAGGUAAUGAUUAAUAGGGACAGUUGGGGGUAUUCGUAUUCCAUUGUCAGAGGUGAAAUUCUUGGAUUUUUGGAAGACGAACUACUGCGAAAGCAUUUACCAAGGAUGUUUUCAUUAA
rnacentral:rRNA from 1 species